AGUGAACGCUGGCGGUAGGCCUAACACAUGCAAGUCGAACGGCAGCACAGUAAGAGCUUGCUCUUACGGGUGGCGAGUGGCGGACGGGUGAGGAAUACAUCGGAAUCUACUUUUUCGUGGGGGAUAACGUAGGGAAACUUACGCUAAUACCGCAUACGACCUACGGGUGAGAGCAGGGGAUCUUCGGACCUUGCGCGAUUGAAUGAGCCGAUGUCGGAUUAGCUAGUUGGCGGGGUAAAGGCCCACCAAGGCGACGAUCCGUAGCUGGUCUGAGAGGAUGAUCAGCCACACUGGAACUGAGACACGGUCCAGACUCCUACGGGAGGCAGCAGUGGGGAAUAUUGGACAAUGGGCGCAAGCCUGAUCCAGCCAUACCGCGUGGGUGAAGAAGGCCUUCGGGUUGUAAAGCCCUUUUGUUGGGAAAGAAAAGCAGCAGGUUAACACCCCGCUGUUCUGACGGUACCCAAAGAAUAAGCACCGGCUAACUUCGUG
rnacentral:rRNA from 1 species